UGUCUAGUAUAAUCGAGUUAUACCGUGAAACUGCGAAUGGCUCAUUAAAUCAGUUAUCGUUUAUUUGAUAGUACCUUACUACUUGGAUAACCGUGGUAAUUCUAGAGCUAAUACAUGCCAAAAACCUCGACUUCGGGAGGGGUGUAUUUAUUAGAUAAAAAGCCAAUGCCCUUUGGGCUCUUUGGUGAUUCAUGAUAACUUAACGGAUCGCAUGGCCUUGCGCCGGCGACGGUUCAUUCAAAUUUCUGCCCUAUCAACUUUCGAUGGUAAGGUAUUGGCUUACCAUGGUCUCAACGGGUAACGGGGGAUUAGGGUUCGACUCCGGAGAGGGAGCCUGAGAAACGGCUACCACAUCCAAGGAAGGCAGCAGGCGCGCAAAUUACCCAAUCCCGACACGGGGAGGUAGUGACAAUAAAUACUGAUACAGGGCUCUUUUGGGUCUUGUAAUCGGAAUGAGUACAAUUUAAAUCCCUUAACGAGGAACAAUUGGAGGGCAAGUCUGGUGCCAGCAGCCGCGGUAAUUCCAGCUCCAAUAGCGUAUAUUAAAGUUGUUGCAGUUAAAAAGCUCGUAGUUGAACCUUGGGCCUGGCUGGCCGGUCCGCCUCACCGCGUGCACUGGCACGGCCGGGCCUUUCCUCUUGGAGAGCCCCAUGCCCUUCACUGGGCGUGUGGGGGAACCAGGACUUUUACUUUGAAAAAAUUAGAGUGUUCAAAGCAGGCCUUUGCUCGAAUACAUUAGCAUGGAAUAAUGAAAUAGGACGUGCGGUCCUAUUUUGUUGGUUUCUAGGACCGCCGUAAUGAUUAAUAGGGACAGUCGGGGGCAUCCGUAUUCAAUUGUCAGAGGUGAAAUUCUUGGAUUUAUUGAAGACGAACUACUGCGAAAGCAUUUGCCAAGGAUGUUUUCAUUAAUCAGUGAACGAAAGUUAGGGGAUCGAAGACGAUCAGAUACCGUCGUAGUCUUAACCCGUAAACUAUGCCGACUAGGGAUCGGGCGAUGUUAUUAUCUUGACUCGCUCGGCACUUACGAGAAAUCAAGUUUUGGGUUCUG
rnacentral:rRNA from 1 species